rfam:Tstilago hordei, Th4857-4, WGS project CAGI01000000 data, contig: THOR_scaffold_5.00030
GCAGUCUUAGUAUAGUGGUUAGUACAGCUCGUUGUGGAAAUGGGUUGACAUGCUCAAGCUUACCGAGCAGACGGAUGUUCGAUUCCUCCAGACUGCA